rnacentral:rRNA from 1 species
AACGCGAAGAACCUUACCUGGGCUCGAAGCGCAGUGGAAUCCGGUGGAAACAUCGGCGCCCCUUAAAAGGCUGCUGCGGAGGUGCUGCAUGGCUGUCGUCAGCUCGUGUCGUGAGAUGUUGGGUUAAGUCCCGCAACGAGCGCAACCCUUAUCAUUAGUUGCCAACACGUAAGGUGGGGACUCUAAUGAGACUGCCUAGGUUAACUAGGAGGAAGGCGAGGAUGACGUCAAGUCCGCAUGGCCUUUAUGUCCAGGGCUACACACGUGCUACAAUGGUCGGUACAGAGGGCUGCAAGACCGUAAGGUGGAGCAAAUCCCAGAAAGCCGAUCUCAGUUCAGAUUGUGGACUGCAACUCGUCCACAUGAAGUCGGAAUUGCUAGUAAUGGCGCGUCAGCAACAGCGCCGUGAAUACGUUCCCGGGCCUUGUACACACCGACGCGUA